UGAGACUCUGGAGAGCUCCCUGUGAUUUGUGCUAAUUCUCAGGAUGUACCCUCUACUGUUUCCAAGUUUUUUCAACCGUGAAUUCUGUCUCUGCUCUUCACCAUGUUGAGCAAGAUCAGUUGCCAGUUUUCCCAACACCAUUUGUUGAACAAUCUACCCUUGGCUUGUGAUCUGAAAUGCCAGCUUCAUCGUGAGAUGUAUUCUCCUAUGUUCUUGGAUCUAUGACUGAGAGAGACAGCAAGAGCAGGAACACAAGCCGGAGUGGAAGAGGGAGAAGCAGGCUUCCCGUGGAGCAGGGAGCCCGAUGUGGGACUCAAUCCCAGGACCCUGGGACCAUGACCUGAGCCGAAGACAGACGCUUAAUGACUGAGCCACCCAGGUGCCCCUAUUUGCACAUUCCUAACUGAUACAAAAUUGGAUAUGGGCACAUUCCCCAAAUGGAAUAUGCCUCUACAUUGUGACAUCGGGAAGAAUGAGAGCAGCUAAGAUGGCUGUAAAAUAAUAAUUAAAAAAAAAACCCACCAACCUCUUUGUUGGCAUUAUAAAAAGUCACUAUUACUGAUCAAGUGAGGUCAGUUUAUGUCCACUAAUGUUAACAUUGAACUGCAAAUAAGAAGCAGCUGUAAGAGUUGAACAAUGUUGCCUUUAAAAUAUUGGAUGGGAAGGAAGGA